GCAGUAGCCGCGGGAAUACGUAGGGUGCAAGCGUUAAUCGGAAUUACUGGGCGUAAAGCGUGCGCAGGCGGUUAUAUAAGACAGAUGUGAAAUCCCUGAGCUUAACUUAGGAAUUGCAUUCGAUACUGGGAAGCUAGAGUAUGGGAGAGGAUGGUAGAAUUCCAGGUGUAGCGGUGAAAUGCGUAGAGAUCGGAAGGAACAUCUGUGGCGAAGGCGACUAUCUGGGCCAACACUGACACUGAGGCACGAAAGCGUGGGGAGCAAACAGGAUUAGAUACCCGGGUAGUCCCUGUCUCUUAUAA
rnacentral:rRNA from 1 species